rnacentral:rRNA from 2 species
UGGGGAAUAUUGCACAAUGGGCGCAAGCCUGAUGCAGCCAUGCCGCGUGUAUGAAGAAGGCCUUCGGGUUGUAAAGUACUUUCAGCGAGGAGGAAGGCGGUGAGGUUAAUAACCUCAUCGAUUGACGUUACUCGCAGAAGAAGCACCGGCUAACUCCGUGCCAGCAGCCGCGGUAAUACGGAGGGUGCAAGCGUUAAUCGGAAUUACUGGGCGUAAAGCGCACGCAGGCGGUCUGUCAAGUCGGAUGUGAAAUCCCCGGGCUCAACCUGGGAACUGCAUUCGAAACUGGCAGGCUAGAGUCUUGUAGAGGGGGGUAGAAUUCCAGGUGUAGCGGUGAAAUGCGUAGAGAUCUGGAGGAAUACCGGUGGCGAAGGCGGCCCCCUGGACAAAGACUGACGCUCAGGUGCGAAAGCGUGGGGAGCAAACA